GCAAACUUGGUCAUUUAGAGGAAGUAAAAGUCGUAACAAGGUUUCCGUAAGUGGCAAGCGCUGCCGAGUCUUCUCAGUUUUAUAUACUAACAAUCUAUUUUAGGUAGGUGAACCUGCGGAAGGAUCAUUACUGAAAAUAAGGCGCUUUUCCCGAAAGGGAAGGGCUCUCUUAUCCACCCCAUGUUUACAUGUCCACGUUGCCUCGGCGGGUUGACCUGUCAAAAGAUGACCGCCAGAGGAAAGUCGAAAAAAUCACGGCACUUACCGAAAUUGCUGAAUAAUCGUUUUUUGUAACAACAAAAACUUUCAACAACGGAUCUCUUGGUUCCGGCAUCGAUGAAGAACGCAGC
rnacentral:misc_RNA from 1 species